GCGGCCAUACUACAUUGAAAACACCAGUUCUCACCUGAUCACCGAAGUUAACAACGUCAAGCCCGGUCAUUACUUGGAAGAGUGACCACUUAGGAGCGUUGUAGGCU